rnacentral:rRNA from 1 species
UACAGAGGUCCCAAGCGUUGUUCGGAUUCAUUGGGCGUAAAGGGUGCGUAGGCGGCGCGGUAAGUCGGGUGUGAAAUCUCGGAGCUUAACUCCGAAACUGCAUUUGAUACUGCCGUGCUUGAGGACUGGAGAGGAGACUGGAAUUUACGGUGUAGCGGUGAAAUGCGUAGAUAUCGUAAGGAAGACCAGUGGCGAAGGCGGGUCUCUGGACAGUUCCUGACGCUGAGGCACGAAGGCCAGGGGAGCAAACAGG